CUUGAUUGCUACCAGCAGAUGGUCGAUUGUUUAGUUGAAUAGCAACUUGUUGUGCAGAGGAAGCAUCUACAGGUGAACGUGCACUGAGCCUUGACAUGUCAGGAUCAAGUCGCAAAUCUGGGUUCAAACGCUGAAGUCGUGUGAUGACGUUCAUUGUAAUAUCUUGUUCCGUAGCAUCCUUAAGAAUGACAAUAUGCAGCCCCAACAGGAUCUAAGGUGUUGAAUGAUGGCUUCUUUUUUCAUGCUCCAAUUAAUGUUACAUUGCCUAAAAAUAAUCCCAAAAGGCAAAAAUCAAAGGAAAAAAACAGAAAAUUUCUGCAUUGGAUGAUACAGCUAGUUCUCCUUUCUUUGAUUUUUCAAAUGUAAGUUUACCUUUUUUAUGCAUAUUUUUUACUAGUAUUAAUGGAAGAAUGUGACUUUUUUUAAAGUUAACUUUCUUGAGGUUUUUACCUUAUUACAGAACAAUUUUACUAUCACCAAUGACACAGCUUCAGUGGAUAAUGUUUUGGACUUUUCACAAGGUUACUCUACAAUUCAUUUUCAGGUACUUAACUAGUUGUUGUUAUAGAUGUAAAUUUUGUGUUGACUAAUUAGUUGGGCCGGAGCUAGGGUGGCGGGAGAGGUUCAUCCGAAUGUCUUAAGUUAAAUAUUCUUUAGACUCUUGAAUCAUCUGACCCUUCAUUUAGACCUAAGAGACAUGCAACAGUAGGAAAUGUGUCUUAAGAUAUAUUUAUAGGCUCAGUAGUGAGAGGUGAAAUAAGAAUGACAACUUAAUACUCUUUUAGACUCACUGACACUGAAUCAUGAAAAAUGCAGCUAAGUUCUGUCGUCUAUGAUAUAUGUUAUUCAAGAAAUGUACCAGUAAUCACACUUCGCAUCAAAGGACUUCUUAUUAGGGAUGGGCCUCUAUUGUUUGACAUCUUUUAAGUUUUUAAAAUUUCAGUUAAUGUGUUGAGAAGCUAAGUAGUUUAAGAUUGAUCUUUCUUUCCUUGUGUCAUUACAUUUAUAAAUCAGGGCAAUGCAUGGAUUAUUAGCAGGAACUUUAAAUAAAUACAUAAAUGGUUUAAAUGAGACUGAAUUGAAACUUUAAAUGGUUCCCAAUUCCUUUUCCUAUUCAAAUAUCUAAACUUCAAGUGAGAUUGUUGCUAAGAUUAAGAGUUUCUAAUGAACCACACUGUGAGAGAUGCAGAGGUAUAGGCUGACCUUGAUUGCUACCAGCAGAUGGUCGAUUGUUUAGUUGAACAGCAACUUGUUGUGCAGAGGAAGCAUCUACAGGUGAACGUGCACUGAGCCUUGACAUGUCAGGAUCAAGUCGCAAAUCUGGGUUCAAACGCUGAAGUCGUGUGAUGACGUUCAUUGUAAUAUCUUGUUCCGUAGCAUCCUUUUGUUCGUUCAACUUUUCAUGCAUUUGUUGUUGCAUCCUCUCUUCCAUUUUUUGUUGCAUCCUCUCUUCCAUUUCCUCUAUUUUCUGCUGCAGCCUCUCAUCAGCAUCUAAAGAAGAUCCAAGAUUCCCUUUUUGCCCUUUUAACAAAGUCUUGGUAACCCCUCGUCCAUACAAUCUCACGCGGCCUGGAUGUUCAUGUCCCACAACUGAAGUAAAAGCGUCAACUGAAUGACUGUCAUCUUCACUUUGCUGAGUUGCUUGUAUUUUCUCCAUUUCAGCCUACAAACCAAAUACGAGAGAAAAGAGUUUUAACU
rnacentral:lncRNA from 1 species